rnacentral:rRNA from 1 species
UUUAAUGUUUGAUGUUCUAACGUGGACCCGUGAUCCGGGUUGCGGACAGUGUCUGGUGGGUAGUUUGACUGGGGCGGUCUCCUCCUAAAGAGUAACGGAGGAGCACGAAGGUUGGCUAAUCCUGGUCGGACAUCAGGAGGUUAGUGCAAUGGCAUAAGCCAGCUUGACUGCGAGCGUGACGGCGCGAGCAGGUGCGAAAGCAGGUCAUAGUGAUCCGGUGGUUCUGAAUGGAAGGGCCAUCGCUCAACGGAUAAAAGGUACUCCGGGGAUAACAGGCUGAUACCGCCCAAGAGUUCAUAUCGACGGCGGUGUUUGGCACCUCGAUGUCGGCUCAUCACAUCCUGGGGCUGAAGUAGGUCCCAAGGGUAUGGCUGUUCGCCAUUUAAAGUGGUACGCGAGCUGGGUUUAGAACGUCGUGAGACAGUUCGGUCCCUAUCUGCCGUGGGCGCUGGAGAACUGAGGGGGGCUGCUCCUAGUACGAGAGGACCGGAGUGGACGCAUCACUGGUGUUCGGGUUGUCAUGCCAAUGGCACUGCCCGGUAGCUAAAUGCGGAAGAGAUAAGUGCUGAAAGCAUCUAAGCACGAAACUUGCCCCGAGAUGAGUUCUCCCUGAGACUUUAGGUCUCCUGAAGGAACGUUGAAGACGACGACGUUGAUAGGCCGGGUGUGUAAGCGCAGCGAUGCGUUGAGCUAACCGGUACUAAUGAACCGUGAGGCUUAACCUU